UACAGAGGUCUCAAGCGUUGUUCGGAUUCAUUGGGCGUAAAGGGUGCGUAGGCGGCGCGGUGAGUCGGGUGUGAAAUCUCGGGGCUUAACUCCGAAACUGCAUUCGAUACUGCCGUGCUUGAGGACUGGAGAGGAGACUGGAAUUUACGGUGUAGCGGUGAAAUGCGCAGAUAUCAGGAGGAACACCGAUGGCGAAGGCAGCUCGCUGGGACGGUACUGACGCUGAGGCGCGAAAGCGUGGGGAGCGAACAGG
rnacentral:rRNA from 1 species